rnacentral:rRNA from 1 species
GACGAACCGUGCGAACGUUAUUCGGAAUCACUGGGCUUAAAGCGCGUGUAGGCGGUCCGGUAAGUCCGCUGUGAAAGUCGGGGGCUCAACCUCGGAUGCCGGUGGAUACUGUCGGGCUUGAGUACGGAAGAGGCGAGCGGAAUUCCUGGUGUAGCGGUGAAAUGCGUAGAUAUUGGGAGGAACACCAGUGGCGAAGGCGGCUACCUGGACCGGUUCUGACGCUGAUGCGCGAAAGCGUGGGUAGCAAACAGG